GUUGCUUGGGUUGUGGAGUCUUUUUCCUGCCCACAAGCUCUAACCUGUGUUCCUCAUGUGAGCAUAUUGUUUCUGUGCUCAAGCCGAGGAUGACUCCCUUCCCAACCCUGAGUGCGCUGUCCCAGAGCUUGCUUGUCGUGUUCCUGUGCCAGUGGUGACCGCAGCCACCUAUGUUCACCUCACCGUGGCCAAGACACUCGAAGCAAUUACACACAAAGGUAACGUGUGUUAUGUGCUCUCCGUAAGACAGUGAAGCUCACCGAAGUGAGUUCUCUAACUCUACUAUUGCCUGAUGUUUGGAAUGGGGUCGCGCCGCCGUGGAUCGGCGUUGAAGACAAUCCUACCGUAGACCCUUCAACUAGCACUUUCUCUAACCGAUUCCUCGCAAGCAUUGAAGACUAGGUAUGUCGUUGAUGCUCACCGCAACGUUUGGUUGAAUUCUACCGCAACGAUCUGGAACCUCUUCACUGCAAUAAGCCACGCCCCGGUGCACGAAACUCCUUCCUUGUAUUUUUAAAAAGAAUUUUAUACACUUUAACUCUAGUGAAAUGUGCAUUAAGUUUAUAGAUGUUGCUUGGAAACUAUUUGAUGCAUUGACUACCUUGAUAUUCAUUCCUGUUAUAUAUACUUUUUUGGAAGUAUCAAAUAUUGUUUACAAAAAUUGCUUAGCCCUACCUAGAGGUAAAUCUUGCAGAUAGAGUUUGUUCUUUGCACUAAUGCCUAGCUCAGGUUUAUCCUGAGGAAGGAUGGAUCUACCUACAAGAAUAUUUUUACCAGGAUCAUUGGGAGAUCUAAUGCAAGGUUCCCUAUGAUGUUUUAAUCAUCCUAAGGAACACAAACAAUCCUAAGGAUGGAAGUACUUAAAUCGAGACUUGGGCUAGGAACUGGUGAUGUUCUGCACAGGUUGAUUAAGAAUUAUAGGGAAUGUAGGCCUGCUGAUCGAGGACUAUAUUAACUAGCCACAUGCCCUGGUAUGGGACAGGGUAAGCCUAGUCUCAGCUUGACAAAUACCAGAAAGGCUACCAUGCAAUGGGAGUGGAGAGAUGGCGAGAGUAGCAUGUACCCUCAGUGGCAAGAGGAUGGACGGUGGAGUAACUGUGCUCUCGGUUGGCGUGAACCCGGUCUGGUCUUGAGAUAGCAGGGGCGGGUUGGCAUAUGCAAGGGUUAAGUGCUACAUAUGUUGUGUGGUUAGGGAUCCCCAGCUUGGUAAAUCGAUUUGGGUCACCAUUAUAUCCUCGGAUAAUGGAGACUUGGUCACUGACCUGCAAUCUAAGUCAUGGAUGGAAUCAUAAUGAGCAAAAAUCAUGUUGUAUUGAUUAAGGUGAUGAUGAAAUUAGACUAGAUGCAAACAAGGUCUAUUAAUACUUAAUCUAGCAUUAAAAUGUUGAAAGUGAGGACUCAUUUUAGUAAGCUUUUCUGCAAACUAUUAAAGUCGAUUCUUGCUAAAAGCCUUUCCUUCAUUCCCAAAUCCAGCAUACCCUUGAGAGUCUUUUUCCUUAGUCGGGUAAGACUUGCGAAAGUAUACUUCGUACUUAGGGUUUUCGAACUCAUGUUGUUGCAGGUAAUCAUGAGCUUUCUAGGUGUCCCUGUGGCUGGAAGAUGCUUCCAGUCUUGAAGGAGGAUUAGUUAGGUUUAUGUGUGAACUUUGGAAGGGUUCUACCUUCUUGCUAUGGUAAUAAGUUAUGCACUUUGAGUAUA
rnacentral:lncRNA from 1 species